GUUAUAACGAGUUUCCUAGAGCGCCUCGACGAUUGACAUGACAUCAAGAGCCAAAAUCACCCGGGCCACCCAUGUGCAUUUUUUUUGAGGUUCCAACUUCGAGUGACAAUAAUAAUAGUUAUAAACUAUUAAAUUUUUUCAAAUAAAUUUUUUUUUAUAUUUUCAAUAUGUAAAUAAAAACACUCUAAAUAUUCAAGAUAAUUCAUUUUCAUUUUCCUAUAAAAAACCACCCUCCAAAAAAGUCAUGAAAAUAGGCAUAAGUUACCAGACUACUACCUUAAAAA
rnacentral:lncRNA from 1 species